GGUUACUUUGGCAGAUUAGUGUGAUAGAUUUAGAGUCUUUUUAUAUAGGUUAUACUAUAAGUAACA
rnacentral:tRNA from 1 species